CCCUACGGGGGGCAGCAGUGGGGAAUAUUGGGCAAUGGGGUAAACCCUGAAGCAGCAACGCCGCGUGGAGGAUGAAGGUUUUCGGAUUGUAAACUCCUUUUGUUAGAGAAGAUAAUGACGGUAUCUAACGAAUAAGCACCGGCUAACUCCGUGCCAGCAGCCGCGGUAAUACGGAGGGUGCAAGCGUUACUCGGAAUCACUGGGCGUAAAGAGCGCGUAGGCGGGAUAGCAAGUCAGAUGUGAAAUCCUAUGGCUUAACCAUAGAACUGCAUUUGAAACUGUUAUUCUAGAGUAUGGGAGAGGUA
rnacentral:rRNA from 1 species